rnacentral:rRNA from 1 species
GACAGAGGGGGCAAGCGUUGCUCGGAAUUGACUGGGCGUAAAGGGCGCGUAGGCGGGAUGGCAAGUCGGUCGUGAAAUCCUUCGGCCCAACCGAAGAACGUCGAUCGAUACUGCUGUUCUUGAGGGUUGCAGAGGAGACUGGAAUUCCCGGUGUAGCGGUGAAAUGUGUAGAGAUCGGGAGGAACACCGGUGGCGAAGGCGGUUCUCUGGGCCUUACCUGACGCUGAGGCACGAAGGCCAGGGGAGACAAACGGG